rnacentral:rRNA from 1 species
UACGUAGGGCGCAAGCGUUGUCCGGAAUUAUUGGGCGUAAAGAGUUCGUAGGUGGUCUGUUGCGUCCGCUGUGAAAACCCAGGGCUUAACCCUGGGCUGGCAGUGGAUACGGGCAGACUAGAGGUAGGUAGGGGAGAAUGGAAUUCCCGGUGUAGCGGUGAAAUGCGCAGAUAUCGGGAGGAACACCGGUGGCGAAGGCGGUUCUCUGGGCCUUACCUGACACUGAGGAGCGAAAGCGUGGGGAGCGAACAGG